AAGCGCGAGCUUCCCAUUCUCGAUCCAAACAACGCACGGGGGCCCUUCUGCUCCUCGUCGUAGAGCUGUUUCCCUUCUUACCUGGUCAGAGAAAGCACAAGGAGGCUCGGCGUGCGUGUGUGGAGCCUGAGCAGGCGGGCUGUACUACCUCACCCGGCGCCUGCAGGGAAUCCAAUGCAAACGUUUUGAAGCCAUUAAAAAAAAAAAAGCGCGCGCUAGAGAUCUGGGCCAGGCAGCCAGGAUCGCAGUGGUUCCCGCGGCGGAUUCUUCCCCGUCGUCGGAAGACUGAGCUAGAAGGCAGAAAGGCGAGCUCCCCUCGCCCCCCCGGCUUCUCUUGCCGCUUAGUACGACCCCCACACACUGGGAACUGCAGCUCGCGUGGAUCUGCCUUACUCCAGGGCAAGCCUCUAGUCCCGCGCAGGAAAUACACCGGGAGGGAGAGCCUCACGCCCCCGCCACGCAGCUCGCCUUUGCAGAUUCCAUACUCGCUCCUCCCCUCCUUCCUACCGGCCCCAAACACGGAUGGAGCACGCGGCGCAAAUCAAUGCCUAGUCUUGCCAAGGAGGCAGCCUCGCUUCCCCAGCGGCUAGCUGCCUGCGUUCGUCUUUCUCGUCGCCACACCACUUUUGGCUUGCCAGGGGAAACUCCGGUUAGCCUUGUUGUCACCCAGGAAGAAAAAGCCUCCCUCCCCCUCGCCUCCUCCUCCUCCUCCUCUUUCAGGGCUUGUAGACAGCGCUAGCAGGUUGAUCCUGUGCCGGGAUGCCGGGCUGGAGGAAGAAUCUGACCCUGUGUCUGCAGAGAAUGCAGGACGAAGCAAUGGUACUGGAAAGUGAACCUCAAAGCCCAGGAAAUAAUGUAAAUGAAUACCCCAAGCCAGCCAGCCAGCCAGCCAGCUGUAUGUGCCUGAUGUCUUUUUUUAGUUUCAACUUACCCGUAAUGCAUGUUCUUCCACAUUCUUGGUAUCCCUGGCCAUGCCGCCAUCUCAUUUGACUGCUUUGGAGAUGCACAGCUAUGACAGUGGGAACGGACACAUGCAUUGCAUACCAAACAGUUGAGAAUUGCAUGAAGUCCUGUCUCAGGAACAUGAAUGGCAGGCUGAACACUUAUGUCAAAUGAGAAGUUGUACAUUGGAUCCACAGCACCCAUCGAAACAACUCGUCAACGGAAAAGAUAUGCAACAAGAUUGUCUUGCAAAAAUUGCCUGCGUAAAUCUUGCAAUUCAUUAUCUGGGGACUGUGUGUGUUCCCUUUUGUUCUGGAAAUUUCACUGUACUAAAAGCUCCCAAUUAGAAUUAUACAUGCACACAGAGCUGCAAGUUAAUUUGAGGUAAGUUAUUUAAUGCUUGCCAAACCUCAGUGCUUUUAAUAAUCCCUGCAAAAUAUCAGUAGUGCUUUUUUUCUGAUUCAGUCAGCCUUUAGCUACGUGACAGAGGAUGACUUUCUGAUAUCAUGAUCUAGAGCAAGCUUACUCUGAACAUUCUGAUCAAAAUUAGAAAUGUCAAUUGAAUUGCAGGCGCUGUUGGGCAAGCAUUUUUUGGGGAAAAUAACAGUUAAAAACUAAUUGCAUGCAACAAAGAAGUAACAAGUCGGACCACAAAAUAUACAUGACAGGGGCAGGUUUCAAGCCCCAGUUUGGGAAAGAGCUGGAUGUUAAUUAUCAGCCAAAAUCAGGAGGACUUCCUGAAACACUUGGGAUGUCCUCUCUUUGGGGCACAAGGAGACAGGAAUGACAGCAGCAACUUUCUUUCAGGAGAGAUAAUUUCCUUCCCCAAGCCAGUCUCUUUUCUGCCCUUGUGAAGACAGGUGGUUUCGGUUUGAACUCCUUGAGUUCUGUCAGCAAAUAAAUGAGCUUUAACUUUACCUCACCUAGUUAGAUGUCAUAAGUCAGGGAGAGCGACACACCUUUCUCAGAGGUUGCCAUGGGAUUGGGGAAGACCACCAUGCUAGGUGAAGAGAGUUGCUGAGCAGAUCUGGGCUGCUUGAUUUUCUCCCACUAAGAUGGAGAUCCACAGAACAGGGAAUCAGUCAUGGCCCUCAUCUUACCUCCCAAACACUGCUUCAGCAGCCAAGAUCACACACAUGGGAACUCCUCAGAACUGGCAGGCACAGGGGUGUAUUCAACCAAUUCAUGUUAGCGGAAGUCACCACAAGGAUUCCUGCUAGCACAACAGGGCUUACCCGACAAUACCUUGUACCCUCCCCAGAUCUGCUCUGGAGGGUCAGGAGAACCCCCAGAACAGCGCUCAGGAUAUGAGAGGGGAGAUUGUUCUGUGCAAACAAAUGCUUGCACUGAUGGGACAAUCUCCUUAGCACUAUGUUAAAUACAACCCACAGGGCCCAGCUUGGGUUCCAUCAUGUACACCUUAACUCCCAGGUGGGGCUCAGGAAGCCAUGGCUAUCUAGAAGGACAAAAAGCAUACAAAGGCUAAAGGCAGCUGGUUUGGAUGCUGGGGAUUAAAUCUUCUAUAUAUAAAAAGCACAUAGCUACAACCCCUUCCCAUAUUCCCAGAAGUUGUGUGAUGUAGCACACAACUGGGAAUAUGGAAAGUUGUACUGCUUGGCUGGAAUUAGUCAGUCUUUCCUGGGGUUCAUGAGAUAGGGAGGGGCAAGGAAGAUAGAUAUUCUGGAGCUGAGAUUUUAUUCUCUAAAUUUCCAUUAUAUAUAAGAUGCCCAUGGGUAACAGAACCACCAACUUUGCAUGGUCACAUGUGGAGACACACACUUGGACAUUGAUGUACAUCCCAGAUGAUCUUACAAUAUUACAUAUUCAUUCCUAGCAAUGUUUUUACGCUUGCAAUUGCCUGUAAUAUUUGUUAUGUUUUUGUUUAAAAAUACUAAUCAAAGUAUUUUGAAAAUUUGUCAGCAUUCUAAUGCCAAUUUCUCCUAACACACAUUUUUGUAAGCAAUUUUGCCUGAUAUGCACAUUUUUGCAAGCAGUUUCGCCUGAUAUGCACAUUUUUGCAAGCAGUUUCUCCUAACAUAAUUCAUUUGAUAUGUUAUUUUAAGUAAUAUAUGCAUGUUUAUACACUUUACCUUAAUAUGCACAUUAUUUACUGUAUACAUCUUUUGUGGAGAACUGCAUCACAGAAUUGGUGGAAGUGCGACUUUGAAAAAUACCUGUGUUUCAGUUCGUGCAUUGUUUCAGAAUUAGGUAGGUUCGCAUUGAAUUCAAAGCAAAUGUCCUCUGCAUCGCUAUUAUCAAUCAGCCCAAGAAGCAUAAAGCUAUGAUCAGGAGGGAUUCAUUCAUCGGAACUCUGCCUUCUGGCUCAUCAAAGAUGCACAGAAUAUGGGUUGGGAUGGGUAAAGGGGGAGUUAAUGUCUCACUGAGCAACUGCUGCACCUUGUUUGGAAAGCCUUCCUGUUUGGGAAUGAUGGUGCUAAUGUAACCAAAGGUGUGUUGUAAAGAUAAUUUUGUUAAACUCAGCAGAAGCCUCAUUUGUGGGCAUUUCUGGGGCAUGUUAAUAUUAUGUGCAAUUAUAAAUCUCUCU